GGUUAAGCGACUAAGCGUACACGGUGGAUGCCCUGGCAGUCAGAGGCGAUGAAGGACGUGCUAAUCUGCGAUAAGCGUCGGUAAGGUGAUAUGAACCGUUAUAACCGGCGAUUUCCGAAUGGGGAAACCCAGUGUGUUUCGACACACUAUCAUUAACUGAAUCCAUAGGUUAAUGAGGCGAACCGGGGGAACUGAAACAUCUAAGUACCCCGAGGAAAAGAAAUCAACCGAGAUUCCCCCAGUAGCGGCGAGCGAACGGGGAGCAGCCCAGAGCCUGAAUCAGUGUGUGUGUUAGUGGAAGCGUCUGGAAAGGCGCGCGAUACAGGGUGACAGCCCCGUACACAAAAAUGCACAUGCUGUGAGCUCGAUGAGUAGGGCGGGACACGUGGUAUCCUGUCUGAAUAUGGGGGGACCAUCCUCCAAGGCUAAAUACUCCUGACUGACCGAUAGUGAACCAGUACCGUGAGGGAAAGGCGAAAAGAACCCCGGCGAGGGGAGUGAAAAAGAACCUGAAACCGUGUACGUACAAGCAGUGGGAGCACGCUUAGGCGUGUGACUGCGUACCUUUUGUAUAAUGGGUCAGCGACUUAUAUUCUGUAGCAAGGUUAACCGAAUAGGGGAGCCGAAGGGAAACCGAGUCUUAACUGGGCGUUAAGUUGCAGGGUAUAGACCCGAAACCCGGUGAUCUAGCCAUGGGCAGGUUGAAGGUUGGGUAACACUAACUGGAGGACCGAACCGACUAAUGUUGAAAAAUUAGCGGAUGACUUGUGGCUGGGGGUGAAAGGCCAAUCAAACCGGGAGAUAGCUGGUUCUCCCCGAAAGCUAUUUAGGUAGCGCCUCGUGAAUUCAUCUCCGGGGGUAGAGCACUGUUUCGGCAAGGGGGUCAUCCCGACUUACCAACCCGAUGCAAACUGCGAAUACCGGAGAAUGUUAUCACGGGAGACACACGGCGGGUGCUAACGUCCGUCGUGAAGAGGGAAACAACCCAGACCGCCAGCUAAGGUCCCAAAGUCAUGGUUAAGUGGGAAACGAUGUGGGAAGGCCCAGACAGCCAGGAUGUUGGCUUAGAAGCAGCCAUCAUUUAAAGAAAGCGUAAUAGCUCACUGGUCGAGUCGGCCUGCGCGGAAGAUGUAACGGGGCUAAACCAUGCACCGAAGCUGCGGCAGCGACACUAUGUGUUGUUGGGUAGGGGAGCGUUCUGUAAGCCUGUGAAGGUGUACUGUGAGGUAUGCUGGAGGUAUCAGAAGUGCGAAUGCUGACAUAAGUAACGAUAAAGCGGGUGAAAAGCCCGCUCGCCGGAAGACCAAGGGUUCCUGUCCAACGUUAAUCGGGGCAGGGUGAGUCGACCCCUAAGGCGAGGCCGAAAGGCGUAGUCGAUGGGAAACAGGUUAAUAUUCCUGUACUUGGUGUUACUGCGAAGGGGGGACGGAGAAGGCUAUGUUGGCCGGGCGACGGUUGUCCCGGUUUAAGCGUGUAGGCUGGUUUUCCAGGCAAAUCCGGAAAAUCAAGGCUGAGGCGUGAUGACGAGGCACUACGGUGCUGAAGCAACAAAUGCCCUGCUUCCAGGAAAAGCCUCUAAGCAUCAGGUAACAUCAAAUCGUACCCCAAACCGACACAGGUGGUCAGGUAGAGAAUACCAAGGCGCUUGAGAGAACUCGGGUGAAGGAACUAGGCAAAAUGGUGCCGUAACUUCGGGAGAAGGCACGCUGAUAUGUAGGUGAAGUCCCUCGCGGAUGGAGCUGAAAUCAGUCGAAGAUACCAGCUGGCUGCAACUGUUUAUUAAAAACACAGCACUGUGCAAACACGAAAGUGGACGUAUACGGUGUGACGCCUGCCCGGUGCCGGAAGGUUAAUUGAUGGGGUUAGCCGCAAGGCGAAGCUCUUGAUCGAAGCCCCGGUAAACGGCGGCCGUAACUAUAACGGUCCUAAGGUAGCGAAAUUCCUUGUCGGGUAAGUUCCGACCUGCACGAAUGGCGUAAUGAUGGCCAGGCUGUCUCCACCCGAGACUCAGUGAAAUUGAACUCGCUGUGAAGAUGCAGUGUACCCGCGGCAAGACGGAAAGACCCCGUGAACCUUUACUAUAGCUUGACACUGAACAUUGAGCCUUGAUGUGUAGGAUAGGUGGGAGGCUUUGAAGUGUGGACGCCAGUCUGCAUGGAGCCGACCUUGAAAUACCACCCUUUAAUGUUUGAUGUUCUAACGUUGACCCGUAAUCCGGGUUGCGGACAGUGUCUGGUGGGUAGUUUGACUGGGGCGGUCUCCUCCUAAAGAGUAACGGAGGAGCACGAAGGUUGGCUAAUCCUGGUCGGACAUCAGGAGGUUAGUGCAAUGGCAUAAGCCAGCUUGACUGCGAGCGUGACGGCGCGAGCAGGUGCGAAAGCAGGUCAUAGUGAUCCGGUGGUUCUGAAUGGAAGGGCCAUCGCUCAACGGAUAAAAGGUACUCCGGGGAUAACAGGCUGAUACCGCCCAAGAGUUCAUAUCGACGGCGGUGUUUGGCACCUCGAUGUCGGCUCAUCACAUCCUGGGGCUGAAGUAGGUCCCAAGGGUAUGGCUGUUCGCCAUUUAAAGUGGUACGCGAGCUGGGUUUAGAACGUCGUGAGACAGUUCGGUCCCUAUCUGCCGUGGGCGCUGGAGAACUGAGGGGGGCUGCUCCUAGUACGAGAGGACCGGAGUGGACGCAUCACUGGUGUUCGGGUUGUCAUGCCAAUGGCACUGCCCGGUAGCUAAAUGCGGAAGAGAUAAGUGCUGAAAGCAUCUAAGCACGAAACUUGCCCCGAGAUGAGUUCUCCCUGACUCCUUGAGAGUCCUGAAGGAACGUUGAAGACGACGACGUUGAUAGGCCGGGUGUGUAAGCGCAGCGAUGCGUUGAGCUAACCGGUACUAAUGAACCGUGAGGCUUAACCUU
rnacentral:rRNA from 1 species